rnacentral:rRNA from 1 species
AACGAACGCUGGCGGCAGGCCCAACACAUGCAAGUCGAGCGAAGCCUUCGGGCUUAGCGGCGGACGGGUGAGUAACGCGUGGGAACGUGCCCUUUGGUACGGAAUAGCCCCGGGAAACUGGGAGUAAUACCGUAUGUGGUCGAGAGACGAAAGAUUUAUCGCCAAAGGAUCGGCCCGCGUUGGAUUAGGUAGUUGGUGGGGUAAUGGCCUACCAAGCCGACGAUCCAUAGCUGAUUUGAGAGGAUGAUCAGCCACACUGGGACUGAGACACGGCCCAGACUCCUCCGGGAGGCAGCAGUGGGGAAUCUUAGACAAUGGGGGAAACCCUGAUCUAGCCAUGCCGCGUGAUCGAUGAAGGCCUUAGGGUUGUAAAGAUCUUUCAGUGGGGAAGAUAAUGACUGUACCCACAGAAGAAGCCCCGGCUAACUCCGUGCCAGCCGCCGCCGUAAGAC